rnacentral:lncRNA from 1 species
UUGAAUCCUGAUGUGCGAAAAUCGCACAAAAACAUAUGUUUUCAGCCACUCCGCGCGAUAGCGCAAGAGCCGGCGCGACUUCGCGAAAGGUCUCGGGCCUGGGAAAAAUUUUACCGCUACCUCCAUCGACCACCAACGGUCAUCCAACUGUUCGCGGGCCCGUUCGCUGAACUCCCGCUUGAGUAACUCGCUUCUUCGUCUUGUUGCAUUCUUGGCCAUCUCACAAAGAAGCAUGUGCGAAUAUCGCACGCGAUUCUUCGCCGGGUGGUGUGCGACUUAGCGGAACCAUCCGACCGUUUCCGGACGUGAUUCAAAAGGUGCGCGGUCCCAAAGGAGGUGAGGAACUCGGGAAAAAUACGCGACGGGCGUUGCCGAUGUUUUGAACUGUUUGGGCAAGCCAUCUGGCCGCGAUGAGGACGUUAUGCAGGCGUUUCCUUGCUUGAGUGCUGAGUGAUUCGCGCUGCACAUCGUGAUGACGUCUACUCGUACAUACACGGACAAAUGCGCAUCGGUUUCGUGUGUAUAUCCGGACAUCAUGGCCGUCUCCUCGCAUUUUUUUGGCCUUGUUUGAACUGGUCAAGCUUUUCUAGUGUUUGAAUCGAAGCCACAAAUCUUACCGCACAGCUUUACUUUUUCUUUGCAGGAUGUCUGACCUAUUUAUUAAGAACGGCGGCGCAGUUAUACGAUGUCGUCCCGAAUUCCGAUACAUCGAUUCCCCCUCCCCGUCGGACCCCCUCGAACCCACCGAGUAGCCCCAACCCCCCCUAGCAAACCGAUAGCGACAGCGAGGUCGACAAGAAUGCACCUCAACUACCCCAACAAGAUGCAACGCGACCACACACCAUUAUUUUAGUUGAUUGUACAUAAUACUAUAAAAAUAUGUCGGGAUUCGUGGUAAAUACCUAUUAUAGCUUCUCAAUAAAAUAAAGAUCACAAUAAAAUAUCCUUACUUACUUCAUUCGUUCGUACCUUCGUUCGUACCUUCGUUCGUACCUUCGUUCGUUCGUACAGUACCUUCGUUCGUACCUUCGUUCGUACCUUCCAUUCGUACGUUCGUACGUACCUUCGUUCGUACCUUCGUUCGUACGUACCUUCGUUCGUACCUUCGUUCGUGUCAAAAAUACGUUUAAAUAUGUAAAUGUAAAUAUCAAACACUAUUUAAAUACCCGUGUAUAUGAGUAAACAUCGUGUGACAACUAUAUGUGACGCUGACUCAAGGUUCUCGAGCUAAAAAUCCAAAAAAUGUCAUCAUCUAUGUAGCGCUAGAACAUCGUUCUUGAUUUAUUAGUAUAUGUGUACUUCAUUUGGCUCAGUGCGCUGUGCGUACCCGGGGCGUAACAAUGGUGGAGUCUUCGGG